rnacentral:lncRNA from 1 species
AGCGGCCGCUCCCGGAGCUGACUUGGAGCACUGGGACCAAAGGGAGUCGAGACUGCCUUCUGCGCGCGCCCGGCUUUGCGCGCCUCCGCCACCAGAUGUGGGGGGAUGGGAGGCCCCCUCCGCGGCCCCUUCCCCACCCAGCCCAGAAAGCUGAACUGGCAAGAGGUCUGUUUUUCCUGAACCCAUCCACAGCUGGGAGAUUAAUCAACCACACUGAAAAUGGGGGUGUGGGGGAGGGAAAGGAAGAGUUGGAACGUAGAUGUUUGAAACAAAUGUGUAUAAAUAAAUGAAUUUUUGAUAACUCCGUUAUUGACCUAGAAACUAGCAGCUUGGUAAGGGAACUCCAUUCCACUCCACUCGUCCUAGAACUGGAAGUUUUUGUAGGCACUUUUCCUCUCCACACUCAAAAGCUUGGGCUAGGGCCAACUCAGGCUGCCCAAGCCCAUUUCUAUUACUAAUGUAACUCUAUGGCCUGAGUCUCAACACUGAAAACCAAAUUCAUUCCCUUAGGGGGGAAA